GACGAACGCUGGCGGCGUGCUUAACACAUGCAAGUCGAACGCUGAAGCUCAGCUUUUGUUGGGUGGAUGAGUGGCGAACGGGUGAGUAACACGUGAGUAACCUGCCUCCUUCUUUGGGAUAACGCCCGGAAACGGGUGCUAAUACUGGAUAUUCACUGGUCUUCGCAUGGGGGUUGGUGGAAAGGGUUUUUCUGGUGGGGGAUGGGCUCGCGGCCUAUCAGCUUGUUGGUGGGGUGAUGGCCUACCAAGGCUUUGACGGGUAGCCGGCCUGAGAGGGUGACCGGUCACAUUGGGACUGAGAUACGGCCCAGACUGCUACGGGAGGCAGCAGUGGGGAAUAUUGCACAAUGGGCGCAAGCCUGAUGCCGCGACGCCGCGUGAGGGAUGGAGGCCUUCGGGUUGUGAACCUCUUUCGCUCAUGGUCAAGCCGCAACAAUGGUUGUGGUGAGGGUAGUGGGUAAAGAAGCGCCGGCUAACUACGUG
rnacentral:rRNA from 1 species